UGCCAGCCGCCGCGGUAACACGGGGGGCGCAAGCGUUAUUCGGAAUUAUUGGGCGUAAAGGGCGUACAGGCGGUGAUGCAAGUCAGGUGUGAAAUACAUCGGCUCAACCGGUGUCCGGCAUCUGAAACUGCAUCACUUGAGUACAGGAGAGGAAAGCGGAAUUUCAGGUGUAGCGGUGGAAUGUGUAGAUAUCUGGAAGAACACCAGUGGCGAAGGCGGUCUCUUGGUCCUAUACUGACGCUGAGGCUCGAAAGCGUGGGGAGCAAACAGGAUUAGAUA
rnacentral:rRNA from 1 species